rnacentral:lncRNA from 1 species
CCUCUCUUCGAGUUACUUUCCAAUGAUCCGGACUUGAGGGCGUUUGCGCCCAAAAGUUUCUGGGAGAAGUUGCUUCACCCUGUCACUCUCUUGUUCCUUCCUCUCUCGUUACAGCAAAACAAACAAAAAUCUGUUUCGCUUUCAGGUUAAGGAAACAUUUAAAUCCUCAAAAAAAGAAAACAUUUUUAAUUUAUAUUUAGUGUUCUAGGCCACUACUGAGCAAGUAUUUACCGAGCUUCUAUUUUUGACCCAGCACGCCUCCAAAAGCCUUAGUUUUGGAAACCCUAGACUCAGAAAUGUUGGCUUAUCCAAAAUUAAAAUUUUUCUUUAAAAGCAAUCUAAUAGUACAUAUUUUUAAACAUCCGGAAAAUGACUGGAAAAAAACAUAAAACGGUAAUAGGGGAAUUACAGUUUCUUCCUUCUUUAUGUUAACACUCUUUAACAAUGUAAUUCUAUUGCUUUCCUACCAAACUGUUAAUACAGUACAAUUUUUAAAAGAACAUAUUAAGUCACAAAGGGAGGCUUGUUUGAAUUCCCAGUUUUGAGUUGCCUGCUGAACAUCUAGACCCUCAAAGGGGCAAUGCUUUCUGUGAUCUCUUUGUUAAAGGCAUCUGUGUCCCCAGCAGUCACCCAGAUUGAACUCCUAUGUCUUUGAUUGUUUUUGUUUCGACAAACCCCCUCUUCGGUGCAGUUUCCACCAAGUGCUUUUUCCAUUUAUUUCCACUGCAGGUACCUGGUGGCUCUCCUCACCUCUUUCCGUGGUUAGUGUAAUUGGCCUGGUACCUUCCUCCCUUCCCCAGACACAGCUCACCUACAUUCAUCUCUCUGAAACACAGACCACAAAGCAUGUUAUGACUUAGCCCGAGAAUCUUCAGUGCCAGGAUCAUAGAACUCAAUUUGGGUUUCUCAGCUUGACCAUUUCAAAAGGGAGAAUCUAAAUGGUUCAUCUCAGCUUAUAAAAGGGUUCCCUUUGGGGAGGGAGAGAGCAAAAGAGGGGCUGAGCACACACCAAAAAACAAACUGAUGGAUUUCUGGUUGAAGGAAAUUCUCCAAGAAGGGGUGAAAGGAGGUUACGAUUGACCUUCUUGUUUCAAUGUAUGUAAAGUAUUGAAA